rnacentral:rRNA from 1 species
AAAAGUGCGGGGUGCUAAUACAUGCAAGUCGAGCGGAUGUGAUGGGAGCUUGCUCCCUGAAGUCAGCGGCGGACGGGUGAGUAACACGUGGGUAACCUGCCUGUAAGACUGGGAUAACUCCGGGAAACCGGGGCUAAUACCGGAUAGUUCUUUUCCUCGCAUGAGGAAAAGUGGAAAGGCGGCUUCGGCUGCCACUUACAGAUGGACCCGCGGCGCAUUAGCUAGUUGGUGAGGUAACGGCUCACCAAGGCAACGAUGCGUAGCCGACCUGAGAGGGUGAUCGGCCACACUGGGACUGAGACACGGCCCAGACUCCUACGGGAGGCAGCAGUAGGGAAUCUUCCGCAAUGGACGAAAGUCUGACGGAGCAACGCCGCGUGAGUGAUGAAGGUUUUCGGAUCGUAAAGCUCUGUUGUUAGGGAAGAACAAGUGCCGUUCGAAUAGGGCGGCACCUUGACGGUACCUAACCAGAAAGCCACGGCUAACUACGUGCCAGCAGCCGCGGUAAUACGUAGGUGGCAAGCGUUGUCCGGAAUUAUUGGGCGUAAAGCGCGCGCAGGCGGUCUCUUAAGUCUGAUGUGAAAGCCCACGGCUCAACCGUGGAGGGUCAUUGGAGACUGGGGGGACUUGAGUACAGAAGAGGAAGAGGUGGAAAUUCCACGUGUAGCGGGUGAAAUGCGUAGAUAUGGUGGGAGGGAACACCAGUGGCGAAAGCGACUUUCUGGGUCUGUAACUGACGCUGAGGCGGCGAAGCGUGGGGGGAGCAAACAGAUUAGAUACCCUGGGUAGUCCACGCCGUAACGAUGAGUGCUAGUGGUUAGAAGGGGAUUCCGCUCUUUUUAUGCUGCAGCUAACGCAUUAGCACUUCCGCUGGGGAAGUACCGUCGCAGACUGGAACUCAAGGAUUGGACGGAGGCCGCCACAGCGGUGGAGCAUGUGAUUCUCGAGCCACGCGAGACCUACCAGGUCUGAACGUCGCUUGACAUCUAAGAAUAGUCGUUGC